rnacentral:rRNA from 1 species
UACGGGGGGAGCAAGCGUUGUUCGGAUUUACUGGGCGUAAAGGGUGCGUAGGCGGGUCUUUAAGUCAGGGGUGAAAUCCUGGAGCUCAACUCCAGAACUGCCUUUGAUACUGAGGAUCUUGAGUCCGGAAGAGGCGAGUGGAAUUCCUGGUGUAGCGGUGAAAUGCGCAGAUAUCAGGAGGAACACCAAUGGCGAAGGCAGCUCGCUGGGACGGUACUGACGCUGAGGCGCGAAAGCGUGGGGAGCAAACAGG